UACGUAGGUGGCGAGCGUUAUCCGGAAUUAUUGGGCGUAAAGAGCGCGCAGGUGGUUGAUUAAGUCUGAUGUGAAAGCCCACGGCUUAACCGUGGAGGGUCAUUGGAAACUGGUCGACUUGAGUGCAGAAGAGGGAAGUGGAAUUCCAUGUGUAGCGGUGAAAUGCGUAGAGAUAUGGAGGAACACCAGUGGCGAAGGCGGCUUCCUGGUCUGUAACUGACACUGAGGCGCGAAAGCGUGUGGAGCAAACAGGAUUAGAUA
rnacentral:rRNA from 1 species